GACGAAGAUAUUCGCCACCGAAAGCAAUUCCAAGUGCGCCGAUGCCGGCAUCCAGAUCAUGGGCGGCGCGGGACUGAUGAUGAGUUCGGAAAUGCAGAUGUAUUUCCGCGAUUCCAGGGUCGGAACGAUAGGCGGAGGCACCAGCGAAAUCCUCCGCAACGUGAUCGCCAAGUCAAUGCUCUCAUAGGAGGACGGACAAUGCGUGGUAUCUCUCGUCGAACCUCCCUAGCCGGA
rnacentral:misc_RNA from 1 species